AUUGAACGCUGGCGGCAGGCCUAACACAUGCAAGUCGAACGAGUGGCGGACGGGUGAGUAAUGUCUGGGAAACUGCCUGAUGGAGGGGGAUAACUACUGGAAACGGUAGAUAAUACCGCAUACCAUCGGAUGUGCCCAGAUUGGAUUAGCUAGUAGGUGGGGUAACGGCUCACCUAGGCGACGAUCCCUAGCCGGUCUGAGAGGAUGACCAGCCACACUGGAACUGAAACACGGUCCAGACUCCUACGGGAGGCAGAAGGGGGGAAUAUUGCACAGUGGGCGCAGUCCUGAUGCAGCCAUGCCGCGUGUUUGAGGAAGGCCUUCGGGUUGUAAAGUACUUUCAGCGGGGAGGCGUUACCCGCAGAAGAAGCACCGGCUAACUCCGUGCCAGCAGCCGCGGUAAUAC
rnacentral:rRNA from 1 species